rnacentral:rRNA from 1 species
ACUCUCAGCAAUGGAUAUCUUAGCUCUCGCAUCAAAAAAGAACAUACCAAAAUGUGAUACUUGGUGUGAAUUGCAAAAUCUUGAUAACCAUUGAGUCUUUGAAUGCAAGUUGUACCCCAAGCCAUUAAGCCAAGGGCACGUUUGCCUAGGUGUUAUGCACUACCAACCCCUCCAGCCCUUCACCCAUCGAGCUUUGAGUGAAAAGGCAAAAGAUGGCCUCCCAUGAUCUUAUCAGUUAUGGUUGGCCUAAAAGUGAGUCCUUAACAAUGAUAGCAUUGUGACCGUUGGUGGUAAAGUUUCAAGCAUGCCUCAUCUCCAGUGACGUGCAUUCAUUAUUGAUCGAAACCCUAUUAGACCCCCUGCAUCGCUCAGUCGGUGCUUACAUCAUGACCCUAUGUUAGAUGAGAUUACCUUAUGAGUUUAAGCAUAUCAAUAAGUAGAGCAAAAGAAACUUACUAGGAUUCCCCAACUAAUGGUGAGCGAAUCGAGAAUAGCCCAGCUUGAAAAUCAGGUGCCUCUAACAUCUGAAUUAUAGCUUAGAGAAGCAUCAUCAGCAACAAAUUAGGGCCAAGUUCCUUGGAAAAAGGUAAUAGAGAGGUGAGAGCCCCAUUAUACUUGGACAUUAUUGCACCAUGAAGCACCAUAUGCUUGUUAGGUUGUUUGGGAAUGUAGCCCCCAUUCGGCACUAAAUUCCAUCUAGGGCCAAAUAUAGAUGAUAAAUUAAUAGUGAACAAGUACUGCAAGGGAAAUAUGAAAAGGACUUUGAAAAGAGAGUUAAAAAGUGCUUGAACUUGUCAAGAAGGAAGAAAAUGGGGGCUAGUGAUACAACCUAGUCAUAUAUGGAAUGGUAAGAGCUGAUCCACCAAUUAGCUCAGAGGGUGGACUGAUAUGGGUCACGACAAUGGCCCAAGCCCAAGCUAUCGAUAUGCUCAUGGAGAUGUCAUUACCAUGAUCAUGGGAUACAGCACAUGCUAUCUCAAAAUGCCUUGGCAUCAAUGUGCUUUCGGCAUCAACCUACGAACUCCCCAUUUAGCUUGUUUUGAAACACAAACUAAGAAGUCUAGUAUAUGUGUUAGUUAAUGGGCUAAAAAACUUGUAAGACAUAAGGAAGCUAAUUGGCGAGAUCCCUUAUGGGUGCACUACCUACUAAGCUUAAUCUUUUGAGAAGGGUUUGAAUGUGAGCAUGCCGUUAAGACCUAAAAUAUGGUGAACUAUGCCAGAGCAAAGCAAAGCUAGAGAACACUCUAAUUGAGGCCUAUAGUGAUAUUAACACAUAAAUCAUUCAUCUGACUAGGUAUAAGGGCGAAAGGCUAAUUGGACCGUCUAGUAGCUGGUUCCCUCCAAAGUUUCCCUUAUGAUAGCUAAAGCCCUUAGCAAGUUUUAUUGGGUAAAGCCAAUGAUUAUAGGCAUCAAGGGUGUAAUGCCCUUAACCUUUUCUCAAAUUUUAAAUAGUUAGGAUGGCACGGUUGCUUUAUUGAGCCAUGCCACAGAUUCAAGAGCUCAAAGGGGCCAUUUUUGGUAAGUAGAAUUAGUGAUGCAAGAUGACCCAAAAGCUAGGUUAUGAUGCCCAACUAUGUGCUAACCUAAAACCCACAAAAGGCAUUGGUCGAUUAAGAAAGCAGGACAAUGGUCAUGAAGUUAAAAUCCACUAAGCGUAGUCGAAGGUAGGGUCCAACACCAAACACUGUACAAGCCCUUGAAAUCAGAAUGAUCGAGUGUCAUCUAUGCUUGGUCAUACUUAUAACUACAUCAGAUCUCCAAAGUGAAUAACCUUUAGUCAUUGGAACAAUAUAGAUAAGGGAAGUUUUCAAUAUGGGUUCGUAACCUCAAAAAAAGAAUUCACUUUGAGAGCUAGGCAUGGGGAUACCGUCCUAAACCAAUUGGUUACCGAUGCACUACUAAAGCUACUCCCCUGGUGAAAGUGGGUCAUUACAUGCCAGUCGAAGGAUGAACUAGGAAUGGCUCUCUCAGAGGCCUUCCUCAAGUUAUGAACAAUUGACUCAAAAUUGGUACAAACAAUGGGAAUUUGAUUGUUUAAUUAAAAUAGCAUUGUGAUGGUCUCUGUGGAUGCUCGCGCAAUGUGAUUUUUGCCCAGUGCUCUAAAUGUCAAAGUGAAGAAAUUUAAUUAAGCACAGGUAAAUGAUAGGAGUAGCUAUGACUUUCUUAAGGUAGCCAAACACCUCGUCAUCUAAUUAGUGACACGUAUAAAUGGAUUAACAAGAUUCCCACUAUCCCUAUCUACUAUCUAGCGAAAUCAUAGCCAAAGGAAGGGCUUGGCAAAAUCAACAGGGAAAGAAGACCCUGUUGAGCUUGACUCUAGUCUAACUUUGUGAAAUGACUAAAAAUGUGUAGGAUAAAUGGGCACCCUCUAGCGAAAUUGAAAUACCACUACUUUUAAUAUUAUUUUACUUAUUUUGUGAAUCGAAGGUGGGCCACAACCCUUUCUUUUGGACCUAAGGCCAGCCUUGGUUGAUAGAUCCAAAUAGAAGAUAUUGUCAAGUAGAGAGUUUGGCUAAGAUGGUACAUCUAUUUAAAGAUAACAUGAUGUCCUAAGAUGAGCUUAAUGAGAAUAGAAAUCUCAUGUGGAACAAAAAGGUUAACAUUUGUUUGAUUCUGAUUUCCAAUACAAAUAUGAACCAUAAAAUAGUGGCCUAUCAAUCCUUUAGACCUUCAAAAUUUGAAGCUAGAGGUGUAAGAAAAGUUACCAUAGGGAUAACUGGCUUAUGGUAGCCAAGCAUUCAUAGAGAUGUUACUUUUUAAUCUUUUGAUGUCGGCUCUUCUUAUCAUUGUGAAGCAAAAUUUACCAAGUGUUGGAUUGUUCACCCACCAAUAGAGAAUGUGAGUUGGGUUUAGACCAUUGUGAGAUAGGUUAGAUGGUAGCAUUACAGUAGUAAUUGAACCUAGUACGAGAGGAACUAUUGAUUCACACAAUUGGUCAUCAUGCAUGGUUGAAAUGCUACUAGUAAGAAGCUAUCAUGCACUGGAUUACGAUUGAAUGCCUAUAAGUUAAAAUCUAGGCUAGAAGUGAUGCACGUGCCCAUCGCCCAAUUGUUGACCCAUAGUAAAGGCCCAUAUCCCCCAAGGGCAUGUAUCGUCGGUGCAACUCCUAAGAGGGACAAGUCAUGCGGGCCUUUUUAGAGCUCAAUUCCCAUUGAGCAGUAGUAAAAUUCUUUGUAGAUGACAUAAAUAUGUGAUGGAGUAUUGUAUGUGGCAAAGUGGCCUUGUUACCAUGAUCCACUGAGAUUUAGC